rnacentral:lncRNA from 1 species
CAGGAAAACGGGAGAACUGAUCUACGCUCUAACUUAACCAAGAUAAGUAAAUAGGUGUGAAUAGGAAAGAUGGUAGAAUCAAAUAAGAACAAUAUUAAAGGUAAGAUAACAGUGAGUGAUAAUAUGGGAAUAGAGAGUAGAGCAAUUCUAGUAUAUGGGCGAUGGUAGCAGAAUAGAGAGGAUAACUAUGGUUUCUCUACUUCAAAGGGGU